ACAAACAGUAAAUGAAAAAAGUCAUGUUUUUUGAAUUGGUAAAUGGUAGAAUUCACAAGAAAUGUUUGUGUGUGGAAUAUUUAUCAUUAAAAUAUGUAAACCAAAACUAGUAUAAAUACAGGGAUGACCAAAUAGCUACAAGAAAUUUCCAACAGUUCUCUCAGUAAUUAAGAGUAAGAGUAAGGGCUAGUGUCGUGGCUCACUUGGUUAAUCCUCCACCUGUGGCGCCAGCAUCCGAUAUGCGCGCUGGGUCCUAGUCCCAGUUGCUCCUCUUCCAGUCCAGCUCUCUGCUGUGGCCCGGAAAGGCAGUGGAGGAUGGCCCAACUGCUUGGGCCCCUGCAUAGGAGACCAGGAGGAAGCACCUGGCUUCUGGCUUCGGAUUGGCACAGCGCCGGCCGUGGCAGCCUUUUGGGGAGAGAACCAAUGGAAGGAAGACCUUUGUCUCUGUCUCUCUCUCUCACUGUCUACAACUCUACCUGUCAAAAAAAAAAAAAAAAAAAAAGAGUAAGUGUAAAGAAAUAAGAAUAUAUAAAAUUUGGAUGAGAAAAAUCAAACCUUAUUUCAUAUAAAGAGACUAUUCAUUCUUUCUUUGUGUCCACAUUACGCAUUUACAAAAUGUGAUAUAGUAGAUGAGGUAGAAAAUUUUAAUUUUCCAAAAAAAGAAUAUUUUGCUUUUCCAAAGAAGAAAAUAUAUAGAUCACAGUCUCUGAUCACUAUGCCAUAAAAGUUUUAAAUUCAUGUUAACAAAGGCAAAUAAAAAAUGCAAACUCAUGAAUAUCUUAAAGGACAUGGUUCUAAGUCAAUUUUUGAGUCAAAGAGAAAUUGUAUACAUUAAUGACAAUGAAAACUACUAAAACUUAAGCAUAUGAUCAAAGUAUUCAGAGCAGAUUUGUAACCUUAAACAUAUUUGAGUAUCAAAUGUGAAAAAUGAUGGGGGCUGGCACUGUUCCGUAGCAGGUAAAUCUGCUGCCUGUAGUGCUGGCAUCCCGUAUGGGCACUGGUUCAAAUCCUAGAUGCUCCACUCCUGAUCCAGCUGUGCUAAUAUACCUGAGAAAGCAAUAGAAGAUGGCCCAAGGACUUGGGCCCCUGCACCCACGUGGGAGACCCAGAAGAAGCUCCUGGCUCCUGGCUUCAGUUUGGCCCAGCUCUGGCUAUUGUGACUAUUUGGGGAGUGAACCAGUGGAUGGAAGAUCUCUCUCUGUCUGCCUCUGCCUCUGCCUCUGUAACUCCACCUUCCAAAUAAAUAAAUAAAUCUUUAAAGAAAAUGUGAAAAAUGAGGAUAGAUGAAGAAAUUAGGAGUAGAAUAAUGAAUACCACUGAGGAUGUAGGAGAUAGAAGUACAAAAUUAAAUGCAAAAAUUAUAGAAUUAGUAAACGUAAAGAAAGUGGAAUGAUAAAUAUAUUUAGUAUGUUGAGAAAAAAUAAAACAUAAGGGAAAUUAAAGGAAAAUAGAUUCAAUCUUAAGACUGGAAAUGGGCACAAAACCACAGAUUUGAGGGAAAUAAGAAAUUACAAAUGAACAUAACUCUUCAUCUUUAAAGGAUCUGAAAAUCAUGAUAGAAUGGAUAUUUUCCACGGAAGAAAGCAAAUUUCCAAAAUUGAUUAAACAAGAUCUGCAUAUAUCAGCAACCAUAUAAGGAAUUGUAAAGACUAUCAAAUAUCUGUUUCACCACAAAAGCAUUAGGCUGAUUGUUUUAUGAAUAAUUUCUGAAAAUGUUCAGGAAACAUAUAUCUUCAUUAAGUAAAUAUUUUGGAUACUAGAAAUAUCUAUAUCUUGUCAUGUUGCUUGAAAUAGGCAUAAUUCUGAUAACCAACCUGACCAAACUGACAUGCCAACACUGACACUCAAACACAACUAUAUCAAUCUCACCUAUCCAGAGAUAUAAAUAUUCUCUAGGAAUAUCAUAAAAUUGGUUCCUAAACUAUAUUAAAAAAUAAUAUACCAUAAUCAUUUAAUGUAGGCUUAUUUCAAGAAUUUGUGAAUAGUUCAACAUGAAAUUUAAUAAUGGAAUUCAUUAUAUUAAGUAAGCAAAAAGAGAAACAAUUGUUAUGUAAGAAAGUCACUUAAUAACGUUAUCAUAUAUAGAAAUGAUGUAUUUUUUUUCUCUUUUUUUGACAGGCAGAGUGGACAGUGAGAGAGAGAGAGACAGAGAGAAAGGUUUUCCUUUUGCCUUUGGUUCACCCUCCAAUGGCCGCCGCGACCGGUGCACUGCGGCCGGCGCACCGCACUGAUCCGAAGCCAGGAGCCAGGUACUUAUCCUGGUCUCCCAUGAGGUGUAGGGCCCAAGUACUUGGGCCAUCCUCCACUGCACUCCCGGGCCACAGCAGAGAGCUGGCCUGGAAGAGGGGCAACUGGGACAGAAUCCGGCACCCCGACUGGGACUAGAACCUGGUGUGCCGGAGCCGCAAGGUGGGGGAUUAGCCUAGUGAGCUGCAGCACCGGCCAAAUGAUGUAUUUUAAAUUUAAAACUCUUAGUAGGUAGGACUAAAAGUAUAUUUCUUAAUACACCCAAGCUUAUUCAUGAGCAAUGAAGAAUAAAUGUCUUUUAAAAAAUUAUUUAUUUAGAAGGCAGAGAGAGAGAGAAAGAAAACUUCCAGCCACUGUUUCACUCCCCAAAUGGCCACGACAGCUGAGGUCAGGUCUGGCUGAAGCCAAGAACCAGAACUCCAUCUGGGCCUGCUAUAUUGGGUGGCAGGAAUGCAAGCACUUGAGCCAUCAUUCUUUGCUUUACCAGGUGCUUAGCAGGAAGCUGAUCAGAAGUAGAGCAGCCAGGACUAGAACAGGCGCCCCACAAGCACUGUCAUAACCCACUGUGAAUAAACAUCUUAAUGAUAAAACCUUAGAAACAUUCCAAUGAAGGUGCCAAAUGUCACUGAAAAUAGUUAAUGGUAUUCUGCUAGUUUGUAGUCACUGUUUUAAACUAAGUAUAAAUACUGGAAAGGAAGAUACAAAAUUAUCAUCACCCAGAAAAUAGAAUCAAGUGAAAAACUUUUAGAGCUAAUAUGAAUUUUUGGUAGGCUGCCUAGGUAGUGUGUGUGUACACACCCACGUAUGUGCAUCAAUAUGUGCAUAUGCAUGUAUAUACAUAUAUAUCUAUAUACACAUACAUAUGCAGCUGUGUGUGUGUAUUUGUGGUUGUAAUAGCAUUCUUAGGCACCAACAGAAAUCUGCUAGAAAAUACAACUUUCAAAAAGGUCCAUUUAAGAUCACAAUUAACAGAAACCUGGGAAUAAAUUUACCAACAGAUGUGCUGAAGUAUAUGAACAAAAGUUUCUGAGGGACAAGAGAAGACUUGAAUAAGUGGAGAGAGCCUAUAUUUCUGGAAAGAUACUCGAAAUAUAGAAAAAGUAAAUUUCCUCUGAAUUACUCUACAAAUUUAAUUCUAACCAAAAUCCCAGUGACAAUUUUUGGGAAUCUGACAACAUGAUUCUAAAGUUAAAAAUAAUUAAAAAUAUUAAAAUUAUCUAAGAAAAGUGUUUCAUUAAAAAAUGAAGGGAAACUUGCCUUAGAAUUUACCAAAACAUUAUGAAGCUGUGAUAAUUUAUGCUGCUCAGAAUUAUUUAUUCUGGUACAGAAACAGGUGGAUCAUGGGAAUACAAUCAAAAGUCUAGAAAUAGUCACAAGGGUAUAUAACAUAUUAGUAUAUAAUGAAGUGAUAUUCAUUUUAGAUCAAGAAAAAUUAUCAUAAAAAUUGUAAUGGAAAAGACACUAGUUCAUUUAUCUUAAAAAAAGUAUCUUAUAGAUAAUAGACAUGAAAAAAUGCUCCUCAUCACUAAUUUUCCAAAUUAAAACCACUAUCACCUUACACCUGUUAGAAUGGCUACCAAAAAGAUAAGUAUCAGUGAUGGUGUAGCGAAAAGGAAACUUAUGCAUGAUAGUAGAAUUUAAGUUAAUACAACCAUUAUGGAAAACAGUAUGAAAGUUUCUCAAAAACCUAAAAAUUACUGUAUGAUCCAGCAGUACAACUUCUGGACUUCUGGGUAUAUAUCCUAAGGAAUUGAGAUCAGCAUGACAAAAGGAUUUAUGCUUUCAUAUUCAGCAUUAUUCGUAAUAGCUAAGAUCUGGAAUCAAGGUAGAUGUCUAUCAUUGGAUGAAUGGAUAAAUACCUCCCCAGCCCGACUUCCACACAAUGGAUACACUUUAGACUUUAAAAAGGAAAUCCCAUUAUUUGCAACAGUCUGUAUGAACCUAGGUGGACAUUGUGCUAAGUGAAAUAAACCAGGUGCAGAAAUACAAAUAUUAUAUGAUCUCACUUAUAUGUGAAAUCUAAAAAUUCAAACUCUGGAGCAGAGGGUAGCAUGUUGGUUACUGGAGACCUGUAAGACAAGGGUGGUUCAGGAAAGGGGAGAUAUUGAUCAAAGGGUGCCAAAUUUCAACUAGAUAAGGAGAAAUAACCUUUGGUGAUCUAUUUCAGAGGAUGGUGACAUAUUAUAAUAAAUAAUAAUGUAUUGUAUAUUCAGAAAUUGCCAAAAGAGUAUAUUUUUUUGACAGGUAGAGUGGGCAGUCAGAGAGAAACAGAGAGAAAGGUUUUCCUUUUCCCUUGGUUUACCCCACAAUAGCUGCUGCGGCUGGUGCACUGCGGCCGGUGCACUGCACUGAUCCAAAGCCAGGUACUUCUCCUGGUCUCCCAUGCGGGUGCAGGGCCCAAGCACUUGGGCCAUCCUCCACUGCACUCCAGGGCCACAGCAGAGAGCUGGCCUGGAAGAGGGGCAACCGGGACAGAAUCCGGCACCUUGACCGGGACUAGAACCCAGUGUGCUGGCGCUGCAAGGUGGAGGAUUAGCCUAUUGAGCCACGGCACCGGCCAAGAGUAGAUUUUAAACGUGUUCACCAUACCAAAAAAAAAGUAUGUGAGGUGUCAAUGUUAUUAAUUAGCUUGACUUAAUAAUUCUGCAUCAUAUUGUACACAUUGAAUAUGUAUAAAUAUUCAUAUAUACAAUUAUUUGUCAACUAAAAAUAAAAUUAUAAAAUUUUGAUAAUGGAAGUGCUAGCAGAUUCAAGCAAUAAUACAAAGUGUGCUUCAUAAAUCCAUAAAGUUAUGAAGUACUGAUUCUGGAUUAAAAAGAAGGGUUAAGUAUUUCACAGCUUUCCUUUCCCAGCUGUUCUUCACAAUGUCAAAUUCAUUUAAUUAUGAAUGUCUUUCCAAUUCUCUGUAGCUGUUUCAUUUUAUCCAUUAAAUUUUUGUCCAAAAUUUAUUUCAUGUUCUUUCUGAGACCCUUCUUUUUUAUUUUUAUUUAAUAAAUAUAAAUUUCCAAAGUACAGCUUUUGGAUUACAGUGGCUUUCCCUCCCCCCAUAACUUCCCUCCCACCUGCAAGCCUCCCAUCUUCUGCUCCCUCUUCCAUUCCAUUCACAUCAAGAUUCAUUUUCAAUUAUCUUUAUAUACAGAAGAUCAAUUCAGUAUAUACUAAGUAAAGAUUUCAACAGUUUGCCCCCACACAGAAACACAAAGUGUAAAGUACUGUUUGAGUACUAGUUAUAGCAUUAAUUCACAUAUUACCACACAUUAAGGACAGAGAUCCUACAUGGGGAGUAAGUGCACAGUGACUCCUGUUGUUGAUUUAACAAUUGACACUCUUGUUUAUGGCGUCAGUAAUUUCCCUAGGCUCUUGUCAUGAGCUGCCAAGGCUAUGGAAGCCUCUUGAGUUCGCCAACUCCGAUCUUAUUUAGACAAGGUCAUAGUCAAAAUGGAAGUUCUCUCCUCCCUUCAGAGAAAGGUACCUCCUUCUUUGAUGGCCCGUUCUUUCCACUGGGAUCUCACUCACAGAGAUCUUUCAUUAAGGUCAUUUUUUUUUUCUUUUGUCCAGAGUGUCUUGUCUUUCCAUGCCUAAAAUACUUUCAUGGGCUCUUUAGCCAGAUCCAAAUGCCUUAAGGGCUAAUUCUGAGACCGGAGUGCUGCCAUUCUAUGAGUCUACUGUGUAUCUCGCUUCCUAUGUUGGAUCUUUCUCUCCUUUUUAAUUCUAUCAGUUAGUGUUAGCAGACACUAGUCUUGUUUAUGUGAUCCCUUUGACUCUUAAUCCUAUCAUUAUGAUCAAUUGUGAACUGAAACUGAUCACUUUGACUGUCGAGAUGGCGUUGGUACAUGCCACCUUGAUGGGAUCGAAUUGGAAUCCCCUGUCACGUCUCUCUGGGACUCUUCUUUAUCAUCUUCUAUUUCAGCUUUCUAUCCUGAAUUUGUUUCCCAGUCUAGUUCUGUGCUUUUCUGGUGUAAGACCUCAGAAGUCUUUUUGGCUCAAUGUCUCUGUCUACCUUAAACGGUCCUUAUUACAAGACUGUAAAAAUCAACAUUUGUUGAGGGGUAUUUGAGAUGCGUUGUGUGAAUGUAUCGUAAUGUAGUUGGGCCCCUGAUCUUGUUUCCUACAUAGGAAGGAGUUCAAGGACAAGACACAGGUAAAGGUCAGCAGAGAAGAAAGAUUUAUUUCAUGCAAAGUAAAAGUAUGCACUCAAGAAAGAGGGUGGGCAUGCUCAUGAAGGAGCUGCACUCAAUGAGGUUUGAGUCUAAUCCUGUUAUAUGAUCUGGAGGCAUAAGGGGUGGUGUCUGGGAUGGGAUUUAAUUGAAUAUUCAUAAGGGCUAGAGUUUGUAGUGGAGCUUGAGUACCUUCCACCCAUUUGCUUGCCCUUUUAUGGAAAUCUUGAAAGUGACAUGGUGUCCGAUGCAUGGUGGGAGUAGGAGUGUCAGUCGUAACUUAGUAUAAUGACAAUAUAAUGAGCUGAAGGUCAUUGCAGGGACACUCCUGGCAGCCAUGUUGGAUGUUUUUGGCCAUUGCUGGUUUUGGGUGGAGGUUUCUAAAAGCUGCUGUUUUCAGCUGCACAGAAAGUGGGGGAGGUUUGGAUAGUGCAGGUGUGCCUGCAGCACAGAUUAGGGCUUUAGGGAGAGGCCAGCAACAUCAGCUUCUCCUUGCUAGCUGCAUCCCUGCCCACUUCAAACAGGGUCAAUUCUCAUCAGAAACCUGCAAAAUUUCCUUCAUAGGCAGGAUGGAGAAGAGGGUGUCAAUCUUUGGGUUAUCAUGUUAGAACUGCAUAAAUUGUGGGUCAUUUGGGAAAUGAAACAGAGACUGUUUUUUUAGACUGUCUGGGUGCCAGGAUGGCUCAAAGUUUGCCUGAGGAGGGAAGACAAAAAACAGGAAAGUGGGCAGGGCAGGGAUUCCUGAAUAUCUUGAACUAGGGCAAUUUUGGAAUGUUGAAGAUUCACAUAAAAUUUUGUUUCAGGAAAAGUUUCUGUUGUUCACAGUUUGAAGAUCACCUCCUGUACAAAUUAUUAAAUAAGAAAUAAUGUUCAGUAGAAAAUAACUGGAUUAAAAAAAGUAUGAUUGAUAAUCUAAAAAUUAUAUAACUACAGAAAUCACUUGAAAGUAGUUAUAUCUGAGUAGUAGGAGGUGAUUUUAUUGACUCCUUUUGCUUAUCUAUUUAAAACAUUUGUAUUGAUAACAGACUUUUUUCAUCUUUUGAGGUAUAAUUUAUUUUUUAAAAAGAUUUAUUUAUUUGAAAGAGUUACAAAGAGAGAAGUAGAGAUAGAGAGAAAGAGAUCUUCCAUCUGCUGGUUCACUCUUGAGAUGGUUGUAAUGAUUAGGAUGGGUGUAAUGGCCAGGCUGAAGCCAGGAGCCAGAACCUUCAUCUGGGUCUCCUGUGUGGGUGGCAGGAACUCAAACACUUGGGCCAUCUUCCCCUACUUUCCCAGGCCAUUAGCUGGGAAUUGGAUUGGAAGUGAAGCAACCAGGACACAAACUGGACCCCAUAUGGGAUACCAGCAUUGCAGGCAAUGGCUUUCCCUGCUAUGCCACAAUGCCAGACCCUGGGUUGCAAUUUAGAUACAGUAAAAUGCACACGUUUUAAGUGUACAAUUUGAUGAUUUUGAUGUAUAUAAAAUAGACCACGUGAUCAUCAUGCAGAUCAAAAUAUAGAAUAUUUCUUUCACUUCAGAAAGUUUUCACAUGCCCCAUUUUGAGUCAGUUAGCCCCGCUGUCUGCAUCCUACCAGAGAUAAUCACUGUUCUGACCCAAUUUUGAUGAGGUUUUGUCUGUUCUUACACUUAUAAGUAGAAUCAUAGAGGAUGUACUUUUUGGUUUAGAUUAUUUUUCUGCAUAUAAUAUUUCUGAGACUCAUUCAUGUAAUUUUGCAUAAUUCUGGGGCACUAUUUCAUUUUAUGACUAUAGUACAAUUUGUUUAUCCAUUUUUUGUAUAUUUGGGUUAUCUACAAUUUUUGCUAUUGAGAAUAAAGUGGCUUGGAACUACCUUGUAUUAUUUUGAAGGGCGUAUACAUAGUUACAGGGUUAUAAAAAGCAUGCAUCUUUAACUUAUCAAGAUUUUGUCAAAUUUCAGAGUGGUUGCUUAAGUAUAGCUUUCAAUGAGCAAUGCCUGAGAGUUACCCAUUCUUUUUGUACUCUACCACUACAAGUAAAUAGACAAGACAGACUUUAGCCUAUGGGAAGACCAAAGCUAUGCCUGGGGAAAUGUGGCAAAACCAGCUCUCAUUUGGUGCAACAUCCAAUGUAAGUGAAAUGUGCAGAGAGCAACACCAAGUCUUUGGGUCAUUACUUGUUAUUGGUGUCAGUAUGUGUUUGUGUUGCCAGCACUAGAGGAAUAUGUACAUUCCGUACAAACCGGGGUACAUAAAGCCAGUUUCAGAAAAGGGCUACAGACAAGACGUCACUUUGCCCUGGCUGGCUGAGUGUUCAGGCCUGGGUUACAGCUCCUUCAGGGAACUGGAGAAUCUUAGGUAGAGGGGUAGCUCCCUGAGCCAAUCACAUGCUUAAUUCUUAGAUGAGUCAAAUUUCAUUUCAUUUUUAUACCAGCAGCAGGACUGCUUUGCUUUCUGAGGCUAUGGGUAAGGGCAAGUGAGCUCCCGUCUGCUGGUUCACUUCCCCUGUGCUUGCAAUAGCUGGGCUGGGCCAAGUCAAAGCCAGGAGUUGGGAGCUCAAUGAACUCAAUCUGUGUCUUUCACUGGAUGGUAGGAACCUAAUUACUUGAGUCAUCACCUGCUACAUCCAUGGGUGUGCAUCAGCAGGAAGCUGGCUUAGAAGGAGAGCUAGUUCUUGAACCCAGGCACUCCAUCUGAUAAGCUGUAUCUUAAUUGCUGUGCCAAAAACCCACCCCAAGAUGUCUUGUUGUGCCACUAAACCUGGGCUUACUUGAACUUGUCCAUAGAUUUUUACAGGCAGAGAAAGCGGAGCUGAUAUACACAGGAUGAUCAGUAACCUGACACUUAGUGCAUAUUGAGCCUGAUUGUGGAGCACAGUUUGUGUGUUAGUCUUUGAGGCAGGAAGCUGUCUAUGUGCUGGGGGAGGCUUGGUAUGUAAAUGUGUGAAAGAAGUAGAUGUUGCUUUCCAAGAUAAAUGAGCAGGCCGAACUAGGUGGCUGUUGGUAGCUGUUGGUAGGUUCUAACAAUGAUAGUACAAAAUGAGGCCAAGAUUUUUUUUUUUAUGAUUUAUUUUUAAAAUGUAUUUGAAAGGCACAGUUACAGAGAGAUUGGGAGAGGGAGAGGGAGAGGGAGAGAGAGGAGAGAGAGAAAGAGGGAGAAAUCAAUCUUCCAUCUGUUAGUUCACUCCCCAAAUGGCCACAACACCCAAGGCUGGGCCAGACUGAAGCCAGGAGUCAGGAGCUUCUUUCAGAUCUCACACAUGGCUACAGGGGUCCAAGGACUUGGGCCAUCUUCCACUGCUUUUCCAGGUGCAUUAACAGGGAGCUGGAUCAGAAGUAGAGUAGCUGGGACUCAAACUAGUGCCCAUAUGGGAUGCUGAUGUCACAGGUGGCAGCUUUAUCUGUUAUGCCACAAUGCUGGCCCUGAGGCCAAGUUUUAGGGUAUAACCCAACACAGGUUCCUCAACUUUGAUCUAUUUCAUGGUCAUAGUCUGGAUGCUGAGGCCUUCCUGCACUGCAUGACUCAGAAAUUUGUAACCAAGGACACAGAUGACAGUUCAAUUGAUUCUGAUUCUACUUCCAGAAUAUAUCUUGAAUCCUUUUGCUUCUUUCCAAUUUUAAUUCCAUCGUUUUAGUAGAAGCUGCCAAGAUAUAUAUUCUUUAAUGUCUUCUGAUAGUCUCUUUACUGGUCUCUUCCUAUCAAUUUCUGCCCCACUCAAAUUCACUCCACAGGAUAUCAUGCAUCUGAUUGUUAUUCCCCUUCUUAUCCACCUUCAAAUAUGAACUUUUUAAAGUAGAGAAUGUGGAUACUAGGAGACAUGCCAGUUUGGGAAUUAAAAGACUCGGGUUCUAAUCUUGGAGAAACCACUAAGUAGCUGCUGCCACCACUUGCCCCGCCCAAGUUUCAGUUUCCUCAUCUACAAAUGAAAUGAUGGGACCAGUAGAAGGCCUCUUAGGGCCAUUGCAUGUUGAACAUUUUGUGAUCUUUUAUAGGACUGAUUCAGAAGGUUUUUCUUGGGUUUUUGCCUGGGAAGGAGAGAAAUGAGAUGGUAUUUCAGUCAGCUCUCCUCUCUUUAAUCUCUGAGAUGGCUGGCAUUUUUGAAGUUUGAAGAUAGUGCUCAUAAACUGAGGAAAACCAUAUGAAAAUAUUCAAAGAGUAUUUCCUCAUUUCAGCAGGUGUGCCAUGAGGACCGAGAGAUCCCAGCAGGGUAGGGGAAGUCUGUGGUGGUGGUUUCCCAUUGCUGGUUAGGUUCCUGUCAAGUUCUCUGUGCUUGUCUGUAUACUUGACCUUUGGGUUAUGUGGGUCCUUAGUAGCUACCCAAGCCAUACCCAUUGGCAGAAGGUGAGUCACAAGUUCCAUGGAGUACUGCUGUCCUCUUUGUAGGAUUCCAGUUGAGUGGUGGAUGUUGACAUACAUUUUUGUCUAGUGAUAUUUUUAGAAGUAUAAAUCUAGUGGCACAGAGCUGCAAACACAUAUACAAAUGUCAGUUUCCUAAUUGUGUUAUUAUGCUUUAGUCACUUAGAGUGCAACCGUUGGGGGAAAACUGAGUGAGGGAUAUGAGGGACUUCUCUGUAACAUCUUUGCAACUUCAUGUAAAUCUCUGUCUCAAAGUUUAAAUAAACAUGCACAUCUUUCAAGGUAGUUAAUGAGAGUCUCUGGGACUGAAUGGAUAAUACCUUCCAUAAUUUUCUGAGUUAGGGAUUUUUUUUCCCUCUAAAACAGAAUGUGGAUUACCUGAGAGUAAAAUGGAGUUUCAUCAUUUUGACUACGAAAUCUAUUCCCAAGGAAUGUUCAGUUGAAGCCUCGAUACACACAUUCAGCAGCCUGUGUUUUUAUGUUGUGUUUGAUCAGCACCAAGGCCAGCCUUAGCAGCAGCACCACAUUUUCAGGUCUUUCUGGGUCCUUGAAUUCCACAUGCCUCCUCCUUUAUCUUCUCCACUUCUAGGCUUCUACCCUCCCUGGCUCUAGGAAGUUCACACAUACACAGGACGGUGGAAUGGUUUGGAUAAGGCCCUCCCAGGAAAGUGGGUGAGUCUCAUGCAGCUGCUGGUUCCAGUCCAAGUCGUUUUGACUCCAAAGCGCCCUUCAUCUGCUUCCCUGGGUACCAGGGGCUUUCAUCACAUAGAACACACAAGAAGACCAUGGUCUGACAUACAGAACAAAUCUGUUACAAUAAACAAUAAAAUUCAAUUUUCCAAGUGAGAAUAGUUGCCCUUGCAUCAGGCUCAUGAGUACAAAGCCCAUUGGUGGACAGUUCUUUCAUUAUCAGCUUCAUCCAUUGCACCAAGGCAAGUCGCCAAAACUGUGAGAUUGAAUAUGGCAAAACCUGAAGAGAUUUUCCAUCUGCUGAUUCACUCCUCAAAUGCUGGGGCUAGGAAAGCCUGAAGCCAGGAGGCUGGAGACCACUCUGGGUUUCUUACGAGAAACACUAUGAUAUGAACUGCUGAAGAUGGAAAGUAAAUGAUAGAAGAGGAAUUGAAAUGUCGACUUGUCAUUCUCAUGCAACACAUUGUCCACUUAGAGGUUGUUUGAAACAGACAGCAUAAACCAUUCUGGGAACAAAUCCCAUGCACCAUAAAAUGAACCAUAGCUCUAUGGUCUCAGAGGAUUGUUACACAGUGAGGACUCAAUAAAUGCCAACCACUGUGCUGGAUGCUGGGAGUUCAAGGGAGAACUGCCUGGUUGUUUAUCAUACACUACUUCCAUCAAGUGUAUGGGGAUUGCCUUAUUUGUGCUGUUAGUCUGAUGUGGCUGGGCAAGAAGGAGGAAUUUUCUUUCAACCAAAGCAGUGGGAAUAAGGGAAAAAGGUGAGAAGAAGGAUUCAAAGGGGAGGCAGAUCGUGGAGGAACAGUACCCUGUGCCAAACAGGCAGAUGGGGUCCUGUGUAUAGUAUGUUAAGGAGUAAUGAUUAUUUUCACAGUGGGUGAUACUUUUAAUAAAGUUCAUCUAAAAGUCCCAAAGGUACAGUUCACUGGUCGGUAAUAGGCCUUGGAAUAGGGUAUCCGUUCUCAGUAUUUUCAAAAAUAUUGAAAGGACUUCCUCACCAUCUCAUCAUUAGUCAAAUCCAGAGCAGUUGUGUAGACCUUCUGAGUUGUGAUCUUUUCAUAUAAAGAUCCCCCAUACCCAUUACACAGUGAAAGUUUAAACAUUCAUUGUUCUACCUGCCUGGUGAGGAGAGAAGCAUAGAAAUCAAGAUAGGAUGGAAUUUAAAAUCUUGAGUGGAGUCUUCUAAGGAUGGAAUGCCAUUGGAGAGUCAUGUUACUUACAAAGCCCUGCUGAUAAAGUGUUUGGAACUGUCCCUGUUUGUCCUGUUAUUCCAUCCUUUGAAUCUAUGAUACUGAAUCAGUAAAUUACUUUUUCCUGCAUGCCUAAGAUGCCAAAAGUUGGUUUCUGAGCUUUUAACAAGAGUCCCAACUAUUGGAGAAAUUGGUACCAGAAGACUUCUUGGUCUGAAAAAUCUUUCUUAUAAUUUCCGGUAUCUAGUAUCCAAAUCCUACUCUUUUAAAAAUCACUUUUGUAAGAACACCUAAUAAUGGUAUAAAUUCAACAGAAGUUUUAAGUCAGCAACACAUAAGUUAAUCUCUUAUGUUUUUUGUUUUGUUUUGGUAAGUUUUUUUCCCCACGCUACUCAAAGAAAGGAACUGACUUUCUUCCCUUCUUUUUCCUUUCCUUUCUCUCCAUUCCCUUCUCUUCCUUUCAUAUAACCAGAACUUAGAGAGUCUCAUGGUUGGAAUCAAGAAGAGAAUUAUGGCUGAGAAGCCAGCUAGAGAUGCUAGGGUCUUUGGGUUUUGGAUGAAGAAGGUCAAGUUUGAAUAGGUGGUCAAGGCUGAUGAGGCGUCUGCGGCCUAUGAGGCCUACAGGCUAGGGGUCAGGAUAAUGAUUUUGAAGGAGGCCAGUUUGGAAGGGCCAUAGCAUGGAACUCAUUAGGGCUGAGGAAGGACCAAGAGUGCUAUUGAGGUUGAUAAGGUCAGGUUCUCACUUCCAGGGUUUGGAAGAUUGAUUAAAUACAAUUAAAUAAGGAAAUAAUUAUACUGAUGAAAAAGGGAGUCAUAUUUCUCACUGUUAGAGAAAGAAGCCACAAAUAUUUAAGAUACAUUGAACCCUUUGGUGUUGGACUGGAAAUGGAAGUAUUGUGUUUCUUUUUUUUUAAUAUUUAUUUAUUUGAAAGACAGAGUUACAGAGAGAGAUAGAGACAGAGAGAGAAGUCUUCUAUCUGCUGGUUCACUCCCCAGAUGGCCGCAACGGCCAGAGCUGUGCCGAUCCGAAACGGGGAACCAGGAGCCUCCUAUUGGUCUCCCACACGGGUGCAGGGGCCCAAGGACUAAGGCUGUCUUCUACUGCUUUCCCAGGCCAUACAGGAGAGCUGGAUCAGAAGAGGAGCAGCUGGGACUAGAACCAGCACCCAUAUGGAAUACCAGCACUUCAGGCCAGAGCGUUAACCCACUGUGCCACAGUGCUGGCCCCAGAAGUAUUGUGUUUUUAUGGCAUGUGUAUGUCCAUGCCUACAUAUGAACACACACACAGUUAGGUAUAGACAGAUGACUGAUUCUAAAGAAGUGGCUUAUCAUAGGAUUUAAUCCCAUGUGCAUUUUUUUAUAUUUUUGGAUAAAGUUUUUCAUAUCCUUAAGUUACAAAGAUAUUCUCAUACUUUAUUCCGUUAACUUUAAAGUUUUAAGUUAUAUGGAAAUGUCUUUAAUUUAUCUUAAGUUUAUCUUUGUAUAUGUUGGAAGGCCUGGGGUCCAGCUUUCUUCCUAUCCAUUUAGUGAGCCAAUGUUUCUAAUAUAGUCUGGGCAAUUAUUUUCCCCUUGUUUUAUGGUACAUCUUUAUCAUAUACCAUAUUUACAUGGGUUUAUAUCUGAGCUUUCCAUUUGACCUAUUUGAUCUUCCCUGGUAUCAUGCUGUUUUCCCAGGUACAUUGUCAGGGAGGUGAAUUGGAGGUAGAACAGUACUCUAGCCAGUGCUCCUAUAUAGGAUGCAGGCUGUGGUUUGAUCUACUGGGCUACAAUGCCAGCCCCUAAUUCUUUUUUUUUUAAAGAUUUAUUUAUUUUUAUUUGAAUUUCAGUGUUACACAGAGAGAGGAGAGGCAGAGAGAGAGAGGUCUUCCAUCUGAUGGUUCAUUCCCCAGUUGACUGCUACGGCUGGAGCUGUGCCAAUCUGGAGCCAGGAGCCAGGAGCUUCCUCUGGGUCUCCCAAGUGGGUGCAGGGGCCCAAGCAGUUGGCCAAGAUUUAUUUAUUUAUUUGAAAGGCAGAGUUACAGGGAGGCAGAAGCAGAGAGAGAGAGGUCUUCCAUCUGCUGGUUAACUCUCCAGAUGGCCACAACAGCCAGAGCUGCACUGAUCUGAAGAUAGGAUCCAGGAGCUUCCUCUGGGUCUCCCACAUGGGUGCAGGGGCCCAAGGAUUUGGGCUAUCUUCCACUGCUUACCCUGGCCAUAGCAGGGAGCUGGAUUGGAAGUGGAGCAGCCAGGACUCAAACCAGUGCCCAUAUGGGAUGCCAGCACUGUAGGCUAUGGCUUUACCUGCUACACUACAGCUCUGGCCCCAAUCUCUACCUUUCAAUUUACAGUUAUGUAAUUUCUUACAAGGUAGAAUUUACACCUUUUUGCUGUUUACUGUAUGAUUUAAGUCAUUUUGUUUCAUUAUCUUUAAGAAUUAUUUUGUUUAUUUGAAAGACAGGGUUACAGAGAGAAGUAGAGCCAGAGAAAGAGGUCAUCCAUCCAAUGGUUCACUCCCCAAAUGACCACAUCGGUUAGAGCUGAGCUGAUCCAAAGCCAGGAGCCAGGAGCUUUUUCCAGGUUUCCCACAUGGGGACAGGAACCCAAGGGCUUGGGCCAUCCUCUACUGCUUUCCCAGGCCAUAGCAGAGAGCUGGAUCGGAAGUGGAGCGGCCAGGACAUGAGCCAGCGCCCAUAUGGGAUGCCGGCAGUGCAGGCUGGGGCUUUAACCCACUGUGCCACAGCUCCAGCCCCCUUUUUGUUUCUUUAAUAUUCUAUUGUUGAAUAGGAAAUUUUCUGGCAUGCUAUUUUAAUUUUAUUGUCAUUUCUCUUGCUAUUUUUGAGCUUUUUUUUUUAGUUGUUGCCCUGGGGAUUACAAUUAACAUCUUAAUUGAUAGCAAUAUAUUUUUAAUGAGUUGCAAUUUAAAUUAUACAUAGAACUUUUCCCCUAUAUAACUGCAUCUCUCUCUCCUAUAUACUAUUAUUAUUGCACAAAUUACACAUUUAUAUAUUAGAAGCCCCUAAGGACUAUUUUUAAAUUACUGCUAUAUUGAAAAAAAAUGAAAAAAAUUACUGCUAUAUGCUGUUUUUCUUUUAAACCAGAUAGAAGAAAGUAGUUACAAACAAUAUAUCUAUAAUAUCCCUAUACCUAGCUAUGUAGUUAUCUUUACCUAUGCUCUUAUUUUUUCAUUAAUUCAAGUUGUAGUUUAGUAUUCACUCACUCCAGUCUGCAAACUGACUCCUUUAGUGGUUCUUGUAGAGUAGGUCUACUAAUGACUAAUCUUCGCUUUUGUUGAUCUGGCAGUGUCUUAAUUUCUCCAUAAUGUUUAAAAGAUAGUCUUACUAGACCUAGAAUUUUGGUUUAUAGUAUUUCUUUCAGCAUUUUAAAUAAGCCAUCCCAUUGUUAAUCUUACUGAGGAUAAUUAAUAUGAUCAGUCUUUUCUCUUUUGCCACUUUCAAGAUGAAUGUUCUCUUUGACUACUGACAGUUUGAGUAUGCUGUAUCAUUUUAAAAGGUUUACUUAUUAAAAAGGCAGAGAAACAGAGAAACAAAGAGGGUUGGGGAAUCUUCCAUCCACUGGUUUACUCUUCAAAUGCCUGUGACAGUGUGGUCUAGGCAAGGCCAAAGCCAGGAGCAAAGAGCUUCAUCUGAGUCUCUCUCAUGGGUAGCAUGGAUCCAAAUACUUGGGCCAUCUUACGUGCAUUAGCAGGAAGCUGGAUUGGAAAGCAGAGUUGCCUGGCAUGAACUGGCACUCUGAUAUGGGAUUCUACCAUCAAAGGUGGUGGCUUAAUCUGCUGCCCC